GGGAGUUUCCAGAGGAGGGGUAAGGCCAUGUUUCCUGCCACAGGGGAAAGGCUGGGAGCUUCAUCUCAGAAUGUAAUCAGAGACAGGAGGAGUCAGGCCAAGCAGCAGACUGGAGAGGAAUGAAAGAAAAGCUCCUACUCAGCAGGCACCCAAGUCUUCUGCGCACAUGCUUACAUCCAGCCUCUCCCCCUUCACGCAGGGCUGCAGACCUCAGAAACGCUGGCAGGUACAGACACGCUCCCUUUUAAUUAUCCCGCCGAACUGCCGAAGUAACUGAUUGCCAGCUAAAUAAUUAUAAUCAAG